AGCAACUGCGCGCGACUGCUCAAUCCGACACAGCCGCCUCGCCGUCGCGAGAGUUUUUUGGCCCACGUCAGCAUGACAUCAGAGCAAGGCGGAAGUAACUCGGACACUUUUCUAACCGGCAUGCAUCUCGCGGUGAUCACCAGUGAUCGGUUCUGCGCAGAUUUAGCUAAUCUCAAACAAGCCUAAUAUUUUAGUGAAUGUGUGAGCUAUGCUCUGAUUUUAAAUCGUAAUUUUGUCAGCUCCUGAAAUGGGUCAGACUGUUGAUAUUACCAGAGCACACAGAAGUAUAAGUAAAUCGAAACUCGGUUGAUAGAAGGACGCAGUUAUUGCAUGGAUGGAGCAAGAACAAUCUCAACCGUCACGGAAUGAAACGCACAGGAUUGUGGGAUAUCAAAGGCAGCGAAGGAUACAUCUGUGCUGCCUUCAGAAAUCGAUCAGAUGAAGGUAUCUCAUGAGGCAGGAAGUGAAGCUAACUUUGGAUUCGGACGUGCCUUGAUGCCUUCCUACCUUGGAAUGUGUCCUCCGAAGGCAGCAUUUUUCAGUUUUCGGAUGCAGCCAUGGACAAAGGCAUCCAGCUAUUGCUGUAGCUAAAGAAAGUUGAGCUUCAUAAAACAGGAAAUGACAUCAUAGAAAAGACCCCAGCAGACCAUCAUGACUGUUUGUCAAGCAGGAAAACAAUGAAUAAACAUCACGACUUGAACGAGAAAACUUCAAUAUCACUGGCAACGCUACUGAUGCUGAAGCAACACAAUUUGCUGAGAACACUUCCCGCACAGCUCAGAGAAGACUUGAAUAAUUCAAGAUCAUCAUCCAUUAUACCACACCCCACAUCCGCCUGCCGUUGGAAAUGUUGAAUAUAAUGUGUUGUGAAGCUUCAAGAUUCUGUCGAAUAUAUUCCUCCUGGCCGGCUUCUUGCCUUCCUUAGCUGCCCCGUUCAGUGCCUGCAUUGAUUUCCGCGUGGAAUCUUCCACUUUAUUCCUUAUGUGUCAGUGGAUAUGGAAUGAGAGCCACUGCAUUUUAAUUUUUGGGGGUUUGUGAAUUAAUCAUUUCCCUGGAUAGCUCGAGCUCAGCCUGGCCCUUUCAGGAGAACACCUUAUCACAGCAAAUAGGAUUCAAAGGGAGAGGGGCAGCAUAAUCCACAGCUAAUUGGAUGAAAUGGCUCUCUCCCCCUCUCUCUCACUGGCUGGCUGUCUGGCUCCUGUUCGCUCGGCUCCACAGGGACCAGGGAGCCACUGAAGAGGUUAUUACAGCGUGUCUUGAGGGAGCAUUAAUACCUUACCCCUUGUUCAGACAUGCAAAUAAUCUAAUUCAAGGUCUAGCUAAUUAACAACCCCACUCCAAUCUGGAUAAAGAGGUGCAAUAACAAGCCCAGGACUUCUUUAGGGAGGCAAAAUCACACCUGGUCCAGAACACUACAAUUACAUAUGCCAAUAAAAUUCCGGUUUAAAGCAAAACCUUUGGUUAAUAUGCUGGAGGAGUCAUAUAAUUAUGUUUUAUUAAAGUUUAUAGGAAUCCUUAUUCAUCUCCAAUAUUGUAAAACCAACACGGUAUUGCCAAAAGCAACUCUACAAUGAAAGGUGUGGCCACCUGCACGCCAUCAGGGUUGUUUUUUUAAUUUAAUUUAAUAUUAUAAUUUUAUUUGAUUAAAUUUAAUAUUUUCAUAUCAAAUUUAGAUUUUGAUAGUUUUCAGUCUUUUAUUUUUUUAUAGUUUGUUUUAAUUUUAAAUUUAUGUUUUGAGCCAAUAUCAUUUCAAAAUGUUCAACGCUGUUGAAUUUCUGACAGUUUGGUGUAAUUGCUAUUUACAUACACAAAAAUAAAGGUUAUUAAUUUUCAUUUAAUGUUCCAUGAAGAAUCUUUAACAU